rnacentral:misc_RNA from 1 species
UCCGGCUUACACCGGCGGUCUCUUGUGAGUCCCCGACUUUACUCGCUGGUAACACAAAACGUGGGUUGCGCUCGUUGGCGGACUUAACCGUACACCUCACGGCACGAGCUGACGACAGCCAUGCAACAUCUGUCUUCACGUCCCCUUGUGGGGGAGGGGUCCUUUUCGGGACCUUGCGAUCGAUGUCAAACCUGGGUAAGGUUCUUCGGUUAGUAUCGAAUUAAACCACAUGCUCCACCGCUUGUGCGGGUCCCCGUCAAUUCAUUUGAGUUUCAACCUUGCGGCCGUAGUCCCCAGGCGGGAUACUUAACGCGUUAGCUACGGUCACGAGAGGGGUCGAUACCUCUCACGACUAGUAUCCAUCGUUUAGGGCGUGGACUAC